AGUGAACGCUGGCGGUAGGCCUAACACAUGCAAGUCGAACGGUAGCACACUGAGAGCUUCUUCUUACGGGUGGCGAGUUGCGUACGGGUGAGGAACACAUCCGAAUCUACGUUAUCGCUGGUGAUAACGUUGGGUAACACACCCUACUACCUCUUACGACAUACGGGUGAAAGCAGGGGCUCUUCGGAUCUUGCGCGAUUGAAUGAGCCGAUGUCGGAUUAGCUAGUUGGCGGGGUAAAGGCCCACCAAGGCGACGAUCCGUAGCUGGUCUGAGAGGAUGAUCAGCCACACUGGAACUGAGACACGGUCCAGACUCCUACGGGAGGCAGCAGUGGGGAAUAUUGGACAAUGGGCGCAAGCCUGAUCCAGCAAUACCGCGUGGGUGAAGAAGGCCUUCGGGUUGUAAAGCGCUUUUGUUGGGAAAGAAAAGCAGCAGGUUAAUACCCCGCUGUAAUGACGGUACCGAAAGAAUAAGCACCGGCUAACUUCGUG
rnacentral:rRNA from 1 species